CUCCUUUUAAAAGCACUCAUUGGGCCUUCCACCAGUGACCCAGAUUAAAGAACACCACUUUUGGGUGAAGCGGCAACAUCUCGUGCUUUUCAGCUUCAAUCGGUGACGUUACAGAA
rnacentral:snoRNA from 1 species